AGCGCCCGUGCCCUCCGGAGAGAGAGGUCCCUCUGGCCCUCGUCUCCAACUCGGGCCGGCUUUCUGUGCCUUUAACACUUGCAAAAUGUCCAGGAAGCAAGGCUUAUUUAGAAUACAGUAGAAUUUGAAGGGGCAAGACUUUUCAGAAGUGGGCAGAGGGUCUGAGAAACUUAGAAAAGGAAAAGCAAUUAACAGGUUCUCUCCUUUCGUCCUGCCCGCGGGGACCUGAGCACCUGACAAGUGGCCAGUCCGAAGGCUUAGUAUGAAAAUAACGAAAAUGUCUCGCUAACAAUUUUUACAUCGAUUACAUGUUGAGAUAAUAUAUUGAUAUAUUAGAUGAAAAUAUAUUGAAAUUGUACUUUGAAAAUAUAGCUAUCAGAAAAAAUUUCAAUUGCACGUAUGACUCGCAUUAGUUUUCUUUUGGACGGCAGUGCUCUUUUUGUGGUUAAGUGAGUUUGUUUAGAUACUGAGGAUUUAUGGGUCCUGCAAAAUGUCUGUAGUGCUAUUUGCCAUCACUAGAUGGCUGCCUCAUUCAACAGACUAGUUUUAUAUUUCCAUCUAACAACUACCAAGAAUUCCACAUAUUUUCAGAGAUUCGAUCGACUUUUUCUGUAACACUGACUGUAAACACAAACCUGAAGUAAAGGCCCUGAGCUUAAAAAGUUGGUUGUAUUCCUGUGGUCCAAGGACAUUAUCAUCAUUGGUUCGGAAAGCCACAAUCAGAAGAUGAUACGUGAACAAUACCUGGAGAGAGCAGGUGGCGAAACCAAUGAGCUAAAUCCCCGGCCCAUGGGACAACUUUUAAAAAGAAAAGGACACCUUAAUAAUUAUUUCAGGACAAAAGGCAAAAGCUGCAGCUGUGUACAGGAAAAUCGUGUUGCAUGGCCAUCCUCGUCACAGACCAUUGCAGUGCUCAAGGCAAGAGUUCUUGGUGGCUUGGAUAAUGACAGUGACAGAAAAAUAGGGAUUGAACUCAGGACCUUGCGCUUGUGGAGCGGCCGUGGUGCUAUUGAGCUAAACCCCCAGCCCUAUUUAAAAAUAUUUCUUCAUUGUUCAAGUUGUAGAAGUAAAGAUGGCUGCUUAGACCUUGUGAAGGAAUAGCAGACCAGUUCCAAGCAUGAUGCAGCUGCAGUAUUACAGGACCAAGACUCUGUGAGUUAAAGAAACAGGAUGAACACAGGAAUGAAAGCCAAGCAGCAAGCUGUCAAGUCACAGAGGAGAGAGUCAGAGACAGGCCAAGCCAGGAAGUAGGAUCAGUUAAGAGUGCUAGAGAGGGUGCAAAGGACCCUGAAGAGAAUCCUCAUGUCCUGGAACACUCAGCCUGAUCUGAAAAACAGUCUUCCCCCAGUGUAGCUGCAGAGAAGGGGGGUGAUUGUGGACAUUUACCACCCAUACUAGAUGGAUCCAGCCUGGGUUAAGGUGACUAUUCUGACUCCUUCCAGUCCCUCACACCUCUUCAUCUUGUAACAGAAAUGUUCUUUCCUGUGGACAAUUCAUCCCACAUAGCAUAAGGCUGACCUCACAUACCUGGGGUGACAGCCUUCCUGGAUUUCCUGGGACUGAGGGGUUUCUUGGGAAAUAGGACCUUCAGUUUUAAAACUGAAAGAAUCCUAGGAAAUGUGGGAUGAGUUGGUUACCUUGAUCCUCAUGAUAAUCACUCUUUCACUGUAAAGAAACACAUAUAUUACCCUAAUUUGGGCUGAUGGAUGUCCUUCCCAGGACAUUAACUUAUUUUCAAAGUUGGGCCCAUUAACUCAGGCUGGAUUAAGUCAAUAGGAUGGAUGUUGUGAUCUGCUGGUGAUCAUUACCCCUUAUAGGGCAAAUAUCUGUCUGAGAGAUAAAGCUUGAAUUCCAAUCUCUGAUGACUAUCUUACCCAGCUAAGUAUGAAACAAACACUACUUGAGAAACUUUUAGGACAGGAGCUAAUAAACUUCUGCCUAAAUUUGGAUUUGGUUUUUGGCGUGGCUUAAUAUAGUUGGUACUUUGGAUAGAAGACAUGAGACUUAUGUGUAUAGGCAUCUUACCUACAAGAGGUCUCUCACUUCAUGAGAUAUAAGAGCUGACACUGGAGAUAUUUAGGGCUAUAGUAUGGAACUGCCUAAACUACAAACUCCUCUGCUUUAGCCAAUGAUUGGUCACAUGAUUGCCUCUUUUAUAUUGUCUUUCUCUAUCUACUAACACAACCUUUUCUUGAUUAGACAGUUCCUUGAUUCUUCUGCUGGGUGUUGCCAGUGCCUCCUUGCCAUGCUGAUGGUUCCAGGUGGUUCCAACUUUCUCUCCCAUAUCAUGUAACUUUGACUAGUUCAUUGGAUAGGGUAGAGCACAGGUAGUGGUGAAUUUAUACUAAAGUUUUGUGAAGAUUCUGAAUCAGGGUUGAGCUAUGAAGGAUGCUGCCAUAGCUGUAUUUUUCAAAUAUUAGUGCAUAUGAGAAUGGAUUGCUGUGGUUGUUUAAAUUACAUAUUUUUAAGCCCAUUUUCAAUGAAUCUGAUUCAGUAUGUCUGGAGUGGGGCCCAUAAGCAAGCACAUGUGUAGCAAGAACUUGAAAUGAAUC